rnacentral:rRNA from 1 species
GAUGAACGCUGGCGGCGUGCCUAAUACAUGCAAGUCGAGCGAAUGGAUUAAGAGCUUGCUCUUAUGAAGUUAGCGGCGGACGGGUGAGUAACACGUGGGUAACCUGCCCAUAAGACUGGGAUAACUCCGGGAAACCGGGGCUAAUACCGGAUAACAUUUUGAACCGCAUGGUUCGAAAUUGAAAGGCGGCUUCGGCUGUCACUUAUGGAUGGACCCGCGUCGCAUUAGCUAGUUGGUGAGGUAACGGCUCACCAAGGCAACGAUGCGUAGCCGACAGGAGAGGGUGAUCGGCCACACUGGGACUGAGACACGGCCCAGACUCCUACGGGAGGCAGCAGUAGGGAAGCUUCCGCAAUGGACGAAAGUCUGACGGAGCAACGCCGCGUGAGUGAUGAAGGCUUUCGGGUCGUAAAACUCUGUUGUUAGGGAAGAACAAGUGCUAGUUGAAUAAGCUGGCACCUUGACGGUACCUAACCAGAAAGCCACGGCUAACUACGUGCCAGCAGCCGCAGUAA